rnacentral:rRNA from 1 species
CUGUCUUGUUUAUAAUAUUUGAAUUUGACUUCUUAGUGAAAAGGCUUAGGUAAAAUAGAGGGACGAUAAGACCCUAUAAAACUUGAUAUUAUGUAUGAUUAUAUUUUAUAAUUGGGUUUAAUAAAAAAUAAUUUAUUUAUAUUUUACUGGGGCGGUAGGAAUAUAAUAAAUUUAACUGUUCUUAUUAUUAAUCAAUAUUUUUGUUAUUAUAGGAGGAUCCUUAGUUUAAGAUUAAAAGAAUAAGUUACUUUAGGGAUAACAGCGUUAUUUUUUUUUAGAGUUCUAAUCGACAAAAAAGAUUGCGACCUCGAUGUUGAAUUAAAAAUUCCUUAUAAUGCAGCAGUUAUAAAGGAAGGUCUGUUCGACCUUUAAAUUUUUA